rnacentral:misc_RNA from 1 species
AAGUCGUAACAAGGUUUCCGUAGGUGAACCUGCGGAAGGAUCAUUAAAAAAUCGUUUUGAGCCGCAAGGCUCUAUUAUCUUGUGAAAUGUAUAUGGGAAUAGUUCCCUGCGCAGUGGAGGAGGAGGGUUUUGCCAAAGAAGGAGAAAAUGUCUACCUAGGCAUUUGUCCUUCUGCCUGCAGCUCCCAUAAUCUACCUAUGCGCAGCAGGGCUUUCCCAGUUAUUAUUAAACAUAUGUCUUUUGAUGUUGAGGAAAUAAUGUAAAUUUAAUAUUUAUACAACUUUCAACAGUGGAUCUCUCGGCUCUU